AACGAACGCUGGCGGCAUGCCUAACACAUGCAAGUCGAACGAGACCUUCGGGUCUAGUGGCGCACGGGUGCGUAACGCGUGGGAACCUGCCCUUAGGUUCGGAAUAACUCCCCGAAAGGGGUGCUAAUACCGGAUAAUGUCUUCGGACCAAAGAUUUAUCGCCUUUGGAUGGGCCCGCGUUGGAUUCGCUAGUUGGGAGGGUAAGAGCCUACCAAGGCGACGAUCCAUAGCUGGUCUGAGAGGAUGAUCAGCCACACUGGGACUGAGACACGGCCCAGACUCUUACGGGAGGCGGCAGUGGGGAAUAUUGGACAAUGGGGGAAAGCAUGAUCCAGCAAGGCCGCGUGAGUGAUGAAGGCCUUAGAGUUGUAAAGCUCUUUUACCCGGGAUGAUAAUGACGGUACCGGAAGAAUAAGCUCCGGCUAACUCCGUG
rnacentral:rRNA from 1 species